rnacentral:misc_RNA from 1 species
UCUCCGUUGGUGAACCAGCGGAGGGAUCAUUACAGGACUCGCAAGACUCCCUCACCCUGUGAACCUCACUACAAGCACGUUGCUUCGGCGGGUGUCCCGGCGGGGGUUUUCCCUCGCCGGGGCGCACAGCCCGCCGGCAGCCUACUAUACUCUGUCUCUUUGCGUUGGCAUCUCGAGAAAAAACAAACAAGUUAAAACUUUCAACAACGGAUCUCUUGGUUCUG